rnacentral:rRNA from 1 species
GACGAACGCUGGCGGCGUGCCUAACACAUGCAAGUCGAGCGGUGAGAGAUUUUCGGAUUUCUCUUUAGUGGCGGACGGGUGAGUAACACGUGGGUAACCUGCCUCAAAGAGGGGGAUAGCCUUCCGAAAGGAAGAUUAAUACCGCAUAAUAUCAGGAAGCUGCAUGGCAUUCUGAUUAAAGGAGCAAUCCGCUUUGAGAUGGACCCGCGACGCAUUAGCUAGUUGGGGAGGUAACGGCCCACCAAGGCGACGAUGCGUAUCCGACCUGAGAGGGUGAUCGGCCACAUUGGAACUGGGACACGGUCCAGACUCCUACGGGAGGCAGCAGUGGGGAAUAUUGCACAAUGGGGGAAACCCUGAUGCAGCAACGCCGCGUGAGUGAUGAAGGCCUUCGGGUCGUAAAGCUCUUUGAUCAGGGACGAUAAUGACGGUUCCUGAAAAACAAGCCACGGCUAACUACGUGCCAGCAGCCGCCGUAACAC